GAUAAUAGGUAAAUAUAGUGUUUGUCCCAGGCCUGACUCAUAACUGCUCAGUCACACUACCAGUUGCUGUUGCCAUCAUCAACAGGGAAGCAUGGUGUUUCCUGGUCUCAAAAGCAUUGACCCAGAGUGCCAUCUGAGGAAAACUUUUUGACAACAGAAGUCAGUCUGGAGUAUAGAGGUGACAUCAGUGGCUUUAUAAUUACUGGGAAGUGAGAUUGUCAGCAGGGACCUAGAGAUGGUAGAAAAGGCUGGAGCGGAAAGCGAGGAGCUAGCACCUCUCCAGGCCAUGGGAACAAAGCCUUACAGAGAGGAAAAGUCCAGGACAAUUUCACAUUCCCAACAAGACAGAGGAGGAGGAGUGUGUCCACGGAACCAGGAACCAAAACUGAGGCAGGGGAGCUGAUGGUCCGGGAGAUGGGGUGGACAUCACAAUGAGGUUGUCACAAUCCAUUCCAGAAUGUUGACUUUGAUGUGAUGAUGGGACAUUGAAAGAGCAAAGAGCAUUGUGCUUCCAUCACGCAGAGGGCAGCUGAUACCAGAGACGCUGAGGAGACUCAGCAUGCCUGAGAGACAGAGCACGGGAAGCACAGGACGGACCUACAUGAACGGAGAGCAGCAUUCUUCAUGCUAAACAUCGCAUUGCUUAAAUGACAGAAAACCAGGAACUGUAAGAACAGGAAUAAACAUAUUGCUGUGGCUAGUUUGAGGCAUUCUCCUGUCUAAGACACCGGAAAGAGAGUUGAAACCGAGUGCUAGAUCCAGAUGAAUUACAUAGUACACUCUAAAAGAACUGGUUCAUUCUUUUAUUGAUUAAUAAUCCGACACACUGAUCUCGGGUACUGCGAUGGUGUCGUGCAUACUCUGGAUAGUGCUGUGCAUGGAUGUAGUUGGAGCAAACAGGUUGCACUGUUGUACCUUCAAUGGGCAUUUAAUCAGAAUGGCUCAAGAUCAAAAUAUAAACUCCUGCUGGCAGAAGACUUCUGGAUAAAGCCUGAUGUUUUGGUGCACACCAGCCAUCCCAGGACUUGGGUAGGGGAGGGAGAAGGAUUUCAUGUUUGAAGCUGGCCUGGCCAACAUAGUGAGACUCCAUCUCAAAAAACUAAAAUCAACCAGCCCAACAAAGAAUGGAACAUGAUUUUUUUUAUGUGCCCUAAAGGGGGAAAAAGCCCACCAAUUCAUUCUUUCCCCCUCCCUUUUUCUUCCUCUCUGUCCUGAGUGUGUGUGUGUGUGUGUGUGUGUGUGUGUGUGUGUGUGUGUGUUUCUGAGAAUUUGACACAGGGUAUUGCAGCCUACCACUGACAUGAUAGUCUCAGCCCCAUUGAGUUAUAUCUCCAGCCCUCCUUUUAUUUUUUACCCACUUUUAUUGGGCAGCUGGGAUUGCAGGCCUGUGCUACCAACCACCACCAAGCUUAUCUGAGAACUUCUUUUAUUGAAUGUAAAGCUCUUCAAAUUAUUAAGGAAUGGAAUCUGAUAUAGGCCACAGACGAAUACUGUCUAAGCAACGUGUUCUUCUGUUCAGUCGGGAAAGGGUGGAAUGAGGUCGGAAGAGGAGAAUGGAUGACCCUAUUCCGACCCUCAGCUAAAUCAAAUUGAUUAGGCCAUGUUUUCUAAGGCACAUUUUUAUUUUCUGAUGUAACUUUUUUUCCUUAUCAGAUAUCCCUCAGGGGUAUGAAGCAAUGGCAUAUGACAUACCCUAAGGCUGAUGGGAAAUGCUGCAAGGAGAAUCCCAAAUGAGAACAUAUUUGCUGGAUCAAUCGAUCCUUAUUUACAUUCUCCAUAGGAUGCAAAUUCACUGGCCCUUAUUCUACCUCUUCUGUGAGGGAUGAAAGAAACACCUUUGUCUGCUGGUCCUGCUCUACAGUUGUCUGAUAGACACCAGCCCCGUGACCUGGCUUGUCUGCAGAAAGCCAGCUGAGAUCUGCGGCUCUGUCUCCAAGCAUGUGAUAAUACAAUCACUUUCCUUUCAACACACUGGCGACGAGCUCUCCCCUGCCAAGAACUGAACGCUUUAAUUCUCUGAUUCAUCAAAGCCUUUCCCUAUACACGGUGUCAAAUAACCUUUCUUUUCAGGAGGUCUAAUCCAAUAGCCUCCCAGACCUCAGGAUGAAACCAAGUGGCAUGGACACGGUGUGCAAGAAGAACAAAGGAGAAACAAUUCAAAGCUGAACCACACAUUACAUAAUGCCUUGUGUUAGAAAAUCCAUGACCCAUAAAACACUUACCUACUUUGUGGGCCUUAAAUAAAGCAGAGUGGUGUGCUUUUUCUACAGUCA